UGGGGAAUAUUGGACAAUGGGCGCAAGCCUGAUCCAGCCAUACCGCGUGGGUNAAGAAGGCCUUCGGUUGUAAAGCCCUUUGUUGGGAAGAAAUCCAGCUGGCUAAUACCCGGUUGGGAUGACGGUACCCAAAGAAUAAGCACCGGCUAACUUCGUGCCAC
rnacentral:rRNA from 1 species